rnacentral:rRNA from 1 species
UGUAAGCGUAUACCAAAGUUGUUGCAGUUAAAACGCUCGUAGUCGGAAUUUGGCAGUUCCGGAUGUGCGCACGUCGUGUGCGCACUUCGCGGGGAUUGCUUUUGUGGUCUUGCGUAGGAUGAGGCACUUUUAUUAGUGAACGUCCUCACGCAACCACUUUUUACUGUGAGAAAAUCAGAGUGCUCAAAGCAGGCAUUUGCCGUGAAUGUAUUAGCAUGGAAUAAUAGAAUAGGACUUGGUUCUAUUUUGUUGGUUUGUUGGGACUGAGUAAUGAUUAAGAGGGACAGUUGGGGGCAUUUGUAUUUCGGCGCUAGAGGUGAAAUUCUUAGAUUACCGAAAGACAAACUGCUGCGAAAGCGUCUGCCAAGGAUGUUUUCAUUGA